GUUUAUUAGUGAUGGUAGGUAGUAGUUUAUUAGUGAUGGUAGGUAGUAGUUUAUUAGUGGUGGUAGGUAGUAGUUUAUUAGUGGUGGUAGAUAGUAGUUUA